AGCUCCAAUAGCAUAUAUUAAAGUUGUUGCAGUUAAAAGCUCGUAGUUGGAUUUCUGGCAUGAUGCGCCUGGCCCGCCUUGAUUACAAGUGUGUGUGCGAGUGCGCGUCUGCCAUCCAUUUGCAGAAUAUAUCUACCCUUCAUUGGGCCGGAUAUGUGAUGUAAAUCUUUUACUUUGAAAAAUUAGAGUGUUUAAAGCAGGCAUUUGCUAUGAAUACAUUAGCAUGGAAUAAUAAUCUAGGACUUCGGUUCUAUUUUGUUGGUUUCUAGAUCUGAAGUAAUGAUUGAUAGGGAUAGUUGGGGUGCUAGUAUUAAGGGGCCAGAGGUGAAAUUCUUGGAUUCUCUUAAGCUAACUUAUGCGAAAGCAUUCACCAAGGAUGUCUUCUUUAAUCAAGAAC
rnacentral:rRNA from 1 species